UGAUAGCGUGGAAACGGAAGUUGCUGCGGCCUCGCAGGUAAUUUCGUGGAGCGAAUGUCAAGUUCAGAGAAACUGGCGACAA
rnacentral:ncRNA from 1 species